AGUUUUUUGCAUCAGUUUCCAAAUGAAAUACAAAACUUGCUCUCAUCUGAAAAGAGGACUUUGCACCACUGGGCAACAGUCCAGUUCAUCUUCUUCUUAUCCCAGGGUAACAUCCCACGAGUUUAAGCUUCUGAUGUGGGGUUUUCUGAGAGCACACAUCUGAAGCACAUGGACAGAAAACUGCCAUCACAGCAUCUCCUGUUAAUUUCUGACCCCGAGGAGGGGAUCCGAGAGGCCCUUCUGUUUCAAGGCCCAUUUUAAAGUUAAACAGGUAAAACAUUCUGCUUCUGGAUGGUUGCUUCCUGUUUGUGGUUUAAAACUGCUGUAAAAAUGACUCUGUUCAUC